UAUGUAACUUCUUGGCCACUUAAGUCAACUAAAGAAAGAGAAUCAUUUUUUUCCUCUAAUUGCUACUCUGUAUUUUACGCCGAUAGUUUUAUCAACCAGUGAGUGUAAAAAAAAGAAGGAGAAUUAUAGGAGAAAUAAUUAUUCGUGUCAACAUGUCUAAGCUUGGGUUCUUGUAGUGCUAUCUGGAGGCUUCGCAGAAAGAUAUUUUAUUUUUGGCGUUCAGACCCGGGUACUAGCAGUCGACGUUGACAUGAUUCUUACCUUUCAGUACUGAUUCAGAGAAAGGUGAGUUUGCUGUCGUCCGAGGCUGAUCCUCCUCUAUCUACUCUAGUUAGUCUUUUGCACUCGAGACUGUUUGUGUAUACUAUGUACAUUUUAGAUUUUUGUCUAGUACUCUUGGUAUCUAUUAGUAGUGUCUCUAAUACUAACCUUAUCAGGCCUUGGGAGAGAUUCAUUUGUAUAGUUGGUUCUUUUUCCUCCUCUUGCUUUGAUAUAAUAUAUGUGCUCCCUUCUUAGUUUUCACUUAUUAUUGUUGUUGUUAUUAUUAUACAUGAUCUUUUAUUUGGUCUCUGCAUGUUUGCCCAUUACCUAUUAUUCUGGACUAUGGUUUGGCUUGCCUACUGGUUGGUUAAAGUAGGUGCCAUUACGACUAGAAAAAUCGGAUCGUGACAGCUUGGUAUCAGAGCUUAGGUCUCACUGGUAUUGUUAGUACUAGAACCGAUGUUUAAUAGAGUCUUGCGGAUCAGUACAGAGACGUCUGUAUCCUAUCCUUGGGAGGCUACAGAGCAUUUUUAAAAAAAAAAAUCUCAUUUUCUUGAUCCAUUUUUGUGCAUUGAGUCUGGGUUGGUUGUAAUCUUUUUUAUUAAUUCACUCUUUACGGUGUGACAUUAUCUUUUACUUUCGCGGACGAAAGUCCUUUUAAUAGUGGAUGUUGUAAUGACCCUUACAGUCAUUUUCCUGUAUUUUCAUAUAAUUUAGUAUUCUUAUAGAAUAGUUUCGAUAUUGGUAAAAUUAUUUAAGUGAUAGAUAUAUUUAUAUCACUUUAUAAUAGAUUUUUUAUGAUUUAUUAAUAUUUUAAGUGGAGAUAGUAAUCUUAAAAAUAUUAAAAUAUUAUUAUUAUAUAAUAGAGAUUUUAUUAGAAAUAUUUUUCUUUUAAUUGUGGUAUAUUCAAAAUAUUAUAAUUUUUUUAUCACGAAUUUAUAUAAUUUCUGAAUAUAUAUAACUGAGCAAUUUAAAAUGAAUUUGUGGCACCUCCACUUCCACGUCCACUUCCACGUGGAAGUGAAAGCAGUGGCCCUUGUGCCUUAAAAUUUCUUUAUGUGGACCUGCAUUUAAGAUGUGUGUGUGGCAUAGUUAUUAAAGUAUGUUAUAUGUAACUUCUUGGCCACUUUAGUCAACAAAGGAAAGAGAAGCACUUUUUUUCCUCUAAUUGCUACUUUCUGUUUUACGCCGAUGGUUUUAUCAACCCGUGAGUAUAGAAAAAAAGGAGAAUUGAAGCAACAAUAAUUAUUCGUGUCAACAUGUCUAAGCUCGGGUUCUUGUAGUGCUAUUUGGAGGUUUCGCGGAAAGAUAUUUUAGUUUUGGCAUUCAGACCCAGGUACUAGCAGUCGACAUUGACGUGAUUCCUACCUUCCAGAAUUGAUUCAGUACCGGGUGAUCUUGUUGUCGUCUGAGGCUGAUCCUCCUCUAUCUACUCUAGUUAGUCUUUUGCACUCGAGAGUGCUUGUGUAUACUAUGUACAUUUUAGAUUUUUGUCUAGUGAUCUGAGUAUCUGUUAGUAGUGGCUCUAGUACUAAUCUUAUCAAGUCUUGGGAAGGAUUCAUUUGUAGAGUUGGUUCUUUUUCCUCCUCUCGUUUUGAUAUAAUAUAUAUGCUCCCUUUUUAGUUUUCA